GCUUCUGAGUCUGCGCAGAAGGAUCAUCCGUGAUGAUUGACUCCGGAUCACGCCUCCUCUUCCAGGCAGCUUUCCCAGACCCUCAGAAGUAAAACGGACUGAACAUCUAACGGUUUGAUUAUGCUUUUAAACAGGACCCGUUCAAACCGGCUCUGCAAUUUCAUCAUAGGGGAGGCUGAACCAGGAGGAGAAUUGAGAGUUCAAGGCCAGCCUAAACUACAGAGUGAAUUUCAGGCUAGUCUGGAUUACACAGUGAAUUUCUGUCUCAUCAAAACAGCACACUUAACGGAAUUACAAGACCCUGGGUGAAAUAUUCUAUGCUUUGACUAGAAGAGAAUCUGAGGUCUUUUUUGUCUUCCAGGUGCGGUGGAGCUGAGUUCCACGAGUCUGAGCUCGCAGGGGUCUUUGUUCCCGGUUCUAAGAGGCUUUGUUCUCAGUCUUCCGAGAUGAGUUCUCAAGGUUCUGUGGUUCUAAAUCUGAGCCUGCCUCUCCUCACUGGGCAAACGGGGCUAGCGCCCCCUCACGCGGCCAGCAUGUGUCACUACACCCGGCGUGUCGGCAACGUUUGAGAGAGCCCAUUUCUCAGACGGACCUUUGACUCCUAAAAAAGCUCAGAUCUGUAGGGGAGGAUGGGGCCGUAGAAUCGCGGGGAGUUCGAGGCCAAUCUGGGUUAACUAUGACAGCCUGUUAUUGAAAAAAAUAUAUAUAGUGUGAAAAUGUCUUUUAUAAUGUUGUGUGAUCGUCUGGCAAUAACCAAGUUUGAUGUGGUGAGUCUCUGCCACUGUAAGGCAGAGUAACACUAGGAAACUUAUUUGGUCUCUCUGUGCUCUUCAUCUACAUCUUAAAAAGUUAUUCUGAACCUUUAACAGCAUAACUAUGUUUUGUUUUGCUUUUUGAGGGUUUCACCAAGUAACCCUGGCUGACCUGUAACUAUGUAGACCAGGUUGGCUUGUUACUUUCAGACCUCCUCUGGGUUGUAUCUGACUUCCCUCCUCCAGUGCUCAUAUUAAAGGAGUGGGUCACCACAUAUAACCCUGUUCCUUUUUGGGGGGGGAGUAACAGCUUCUACCACUCAUAAAGAACUGAGUCCUGGGCAUGGAGAGUCACAUCUGUAAUCCCAGCACUGGAGAAAUGACGCAGUGAUUUAAGUGCUGUUGCUCUUCCAGAAGACCUGGGUUCUGUUCCUGGCACACAGAGGGGGAAAAAGAGGCUCACAGUCCUCUGUAACUCCAGCAUCAGGGGAUCCACUGUCCUCUUCUGGUCACUUCAGGCAAUUGCACUCUGUGUGCGCCCACACAUACACACACGCACGCGUGCGCAUACACACACACACACACACACACACUUUGAAAUAUUUAGUCUUGCUGGCCAGUGGUGGUGCAAACCUUUAAUCUCACAGCACUUAGGAGACACAGGUAGGCAGAUUUCUGAGUUCGAAGCCAGCCUGGUCUACAGAGUGAGUUCCAGGACAGCCAGGGCUACACAGAGAAACCCUGUCUCAAAAAAUUAAAAAAAAAAUAAUUUUUUCAUGGUGCCAAGAGUGGUGGCUCAGGUCUGCCAAUCUAGUGCUCUACGUGAUUAGGCUGGAAGAUCUGCAGGUCCACGCUAGCCUGGACUACAUGGCAGACCAAGACUGGGGAUGAGGCUCAGUGGUUGAGGCUUUGUCUAGAAUCCUGCUAGUUUCAGCCCCAGUACAUGAAAAAUCAUGGCAAAUGAAGCCUCAGUUUACUCUCAGCUGUUGGAGGGUUGAGGGCUAAAAGUCAGCAUAACCAAGCAACUGGAGUACUGGGCAGGGAUCCAGAGUUAGGAAGGACAGCAUGAUGGACCCUCAGGAGGCAAAAGCAGAUGGCUAGUGAGUGCUAGGCUAGCCUGCUCUACCGAGUUCAAGGACAGCCAGGGCUAGGUAGAGAGACGUUGUCUCUAAACAAAAU
rnacentral:lncRNA from 1 species